UACGGGGGGGGCUAGCGUUGUUCGGAAUUACUGGGCGUAAAGGGCGCGUAGGCGGUCUAUUAAGUUGGAUGUGAAAACUCUGGGCUUAACCCAGAGCCUGCAUUCAAAACUGAUAGGCUGGAGUUCUGGAGGGGAUAGCGGAAUUCCUGGUGUAGCGGUGAAAUGCGUAGAUAUCUGGAGGAACACCGGUGGCGAAGGCGGCAUCCUGGACCAAUUCUGACGCUGAGGAGCGAAAGCCAGGGGAGCAAACGGG
rnacentral:rRNA from 1 species